rnacentral:rRNA from 1 species
UACGUAGGGUGCGAGCGUUAAUCGGAAUUACUGGGCGUAAAGCGUGCGCAGGCGGUUUUGUAAGCCAGAUGUGAAAUCCCCGGGCUUAACCUGGGAAUGGCAUUUGGGACUGCAAGGCUCGAGUGCGGCAGAGGAGACUGGAAUUCCUGGUGUAGCAGUGAAAUGCGUAGAUAUCAGGAGGAAUACCGAUGGCGAAGGCAGGUCUCUGGGCCGACACUGACGCUCAUGCACGAAAGCGUGGGGAGCAAACAGG